AGGAAUGUAGCUAAGUAGAGCUCUUGCCUUUUGGCAAGUGAUCUAAGCUUUAAAUCCUAGCAUUUCCU
rnacentral:tRNA from 1 species